CAUUUCCUCCGGGGGGGCGGCAGUGGGGAAUUAUUGGCCAAUGGGGGGCAACCCGGAUCCAGCCAUCCCGCGUGAUUGAUAAGGGCCUUUAGGGUUGUAAAGUUCUUUUGUCCGGGACGAAUAAUGCCGGUCCCGGAAGAAAAAACCCCGGCUAAUCUGGUCCCACCAGCCCCGGUUAUACCGAGGGGGGCAACGUUUUCUCGAAAUCACUGGGGUUAAAGGGGCCUUAGGGGGCCGAUUAAUUCGGGGGGAAAACCCCGGGGUCCAACCCCAGAAUGCCCUUUAAAACUUGUUGCCUUGAGACCGGAAGAGGACAGCGGAAUUCCGAGUGUGGAGGGGAAAUCCGUAGAUUUUCGCAAGAACCCCAGUGGCGAAGGCGCCUGUCUGGCCCGGUUCUGCCGCUGAGGCGCGAAAGCGGGGGGGUCCCCCUCAAUUAAUUUCAGUUUUUGUCCCCCCGUAAUGAUGAAUGCCGGACGUUGGUCUGUUCAGGUCAGUGCGCCGCUAACGCGUCAGCAUCUGCAUGCGACGACGGCGACCUU
rnacentral:rRNA from 1 species